GUGCUUGCUUUGGCAGUACAUGUACUAAAAUUGGAAUGAUACAGAGAAGAUUAGCAUGGCCCCUGGGUAAGGAUGACAUGCAAAUUCGUGAAGCAUUCCAUAGGGUG